rnacentral:lncRNA from 1 species
AAUCAUGCAUACUUAUUUCUGUAUCAAAUAAUUUCAAAUGAUGCAUAUUUACAUUAGACAAAAUGUUUUAUAAACAUGCCUCAAAAAUCUUGGCUAAAAUAAUCGAUUAUGAACUUAUGAUAAUCGACUGUUUCCGAGCCAAUACUGCAUGACAAUCGAUUAUGAGUUAAUGGUAAUCGAUUGUGAGUAAGACAGUGAACAUCAG